rnacentral:lncRNA from 1 species
CUCAAGAGGGAUUCUUUCAAAAGUGUGCAAUUUUAUUUAAUUUUAGUUUUACACUGUUUAUGCCCUUUGUCAGUUCUUUAUUGUAACUGCAACAGGUAAAAACUAUACCACAGAUGGGGAUAAUUUAUGAAUUAUAUAUUCCUAUGAUAGCCGCUCUAUUUUGUUCAAACCGUUAGCUGGUUUACCUGCAGAAGCACUUACUAUGUGUCAAGCUGGUGACUGCAGAUGGCAGUAUUAAUAGUGUCCUAUGCAGAUUAGCUGCGCUGCUGUGGGAGUCUGUGUUGCAGUCGGAGGUGUGAAUACCAGUCAUGCCUGGCCUCAUGACACAAUUAACCCUUGGCAGGAAAGACACUAGGCUCACUCACUUUACACUUUCCCCAAUGUCAUGCUCUUACAUGUAUGUGUAUAUGUGCGUGUCUAUAUGUAUAUUGCCUGUAGUAGAAAGUAAAUCUGCAUAUAUUUCAAUAUUUUUAGCAGUCAUCAGUUAUUUUUAUUUUUUUUUUAUUUUCUUUGUCUCUUUCACCAGUGCACUUUUAAGACCGGUGGGACCAGCCUCAGAAGAUCAAAGGGUGGUUUAUUCUAGGAUGAACUCUAAAAUGAUUUGCCAUACCCUAUGACUGUAACCCAAAAACACACUCUUGUAAUGGAUCAUCACAAGUGUCCUUCUGAAGACCUCACUGUUAUAUGCAUCAUACGAGCGUUUUAUGCAGUUUCCCGUCUGGUUGCCUGGUUCUUGUCCUUGUUCCUCUGUGCUGUUUGUUCGCUGUUGUCUUCCCCGGAACCCUGGUUGCCUGGUUCUUGUCCUUGUUCCUCUGUGCUGUUUGUUCGCUGUUGUCUUCCCCGGAACCCCGUCCACUCUUCACCACCGGAUGCACCGACUACCACCACGGACUGCUCAUCUCAGGCCUGUGUCACGCUCUCCUGCUGCAUCUACUCACCACCACUUCCUGGAUCAUCGUCUGCCAUCGCUGUUAUCACCAUUGUUUCCCUUGGACUCAGUUACAUUCCUGUUAUCAAUAAACAUUACAUUUAACUCUUGCAUUUGCUUCCUCACCCAUUUGUUACCGUUACACAAAUUCAAAUAAUUUUCUUGAAAUUGAAUUGAGGUAGCAAACAGGAUAUGGAAUUGCAAUUCGAAUUUGAAUUGAAAGUUGAAUUGGAAUGCAAAGAAAUUCAUAUAGGUGUUAUUUUUAAUUGGAAAAGCUAUGUUUAUCAAGACAAAUUUUUAAUAUUGGCUUGACAAAAUUUGUUUGCCUGAAAAUGUUUAAAGUGCCCCUAUUAUGGAUUUUUGAAAAUUACAUUUCAUGCAGUGUGUAAUACAGCUCGGGGUGAAUGAAAACAUCCUGCAAAGUUUUAAAUCUGAAAGUGCACCGUGUAUAAAGUUAUUGCCUCUCAAAAGAAAGAGUUGACUCUGAAUCAUUGAAACGAGUCGUUUUUAAAAUGAAUCCCAAGCCAUUUCAUGUUGACUUCAAUAUGAAACAUUAACAUAUUGCCCGCCCACUUCUUGCACUCAGAGCGGAAAAAUAUUCAUUCUUUGCCACUAGGUGCCGCUUUUGGAGCAGUAAAAUAAAGCAAUAAGCUCCAAGAAGGCUUCACGGGGCCUAUUGCUUUAAUAAAACGUUUUUCCUAGUAAGGUUUCACAAAAUAAAACAGAGCAAAUAAAGUGUAAUGAUAUAAAUAAAAAGAGUAUUCUUCCAUUAAACAAUUUAGUUCCUCAGAAAUAGUUGUGGUUCCAACACGGACGCUUCUAAUGCGGCUUAACCAAUCAGAAUCAAGGACCAGAACGAUCCUUUUUAUAAAUAGCUGGUUCCCCGGUAACAGCUGUAAACAAAGCAGCACUGCGUUCACAAACGCUGAUUUAUCAGGCAUUACAGGCAAGAUGAAAUGGAAAUAAGUUGACCAAUCACUGCAGAUUAGCAUUAUGCAAAGGAAGGGUUUGGAAAAUAGGGGCACUUUAAAGCAUGAUAUUUACAGGCCUGAUAGAUACAUCCAUUAGCUAGCCUAUAGUAUUUAACUGAAUUGCAAUUGCAAUUCCCCGGGCGCCGCAGCAUAAAUGGCUGCCCACUGCUCCGGGUGUGUGUUCACGGUGUGUGUGUGUGUUCGGCUUAACCAAUCAGAAUCAAGGACCAGAACGAUCCUUUUAUAAAUAGCUGGUUCCCCGGUAACAGCUGUAAACAAAGCAGCACUGCGUUCACAAACGCUGAUUUAUCAGGCAUUACAGGCAAGAUGAAAUGGAAAUAAGUUGACCAAUCACUGCAGAUUAGCAUUAUGCAAAGGAAGGGUUUGGAAAAUAGGAGCACUUUAAAGCAUGAUAUUUACAGGCCUGAUAGAUACAUCCAUUAGCUAGCCUAUAGUAUUUAACUGAAUUGCAAUUGCAAUUCCCCGGGCGCCGCAGCAUAAAUGGCUGCCCACUGCUCCGGGUGUGUGUUCACGGUGUGUGUGUGUGUUCACUGCUGUGUGUGUGCACUUUGGAUGGGUUAAAUGCAUACUUGGCUGUAUGUCACAUCACUUUUUUCACUUUCACUCACAUCACUUUAAACAAAGUGCUCUUUUUUUGUCAUUCCUUUUCAAAUUCACUUUAACCUUCCUGUUUGUGUGGCCAAUUCAAUUUCUAACUUAUUUUGAAAGAAAGUCAGUCUUUCAAUUCUGAAUUUAAGCUUCACAUUAUUUUUGCAUUGUGUUGUUCUGUCUGUUAAUGACAGCUAUUCUGAGGUCAUCAGUCCAGGUCAUUUUCCUGUUCUCCACCUGAUUUUGAGUCUUUUAACUGUUAGCAUGAAUGUGUCUUACUGUACAGACACUCCAUUGUGUUCAGAAUCGAACACACCUUACAUUCAAAAGAGCCAAAUAUUCCAGCUUCAUGUGUGCCAUAUUCAUAAUGCUGAUGCAAAUUAUGUCACAUGACUCUCACAUCACAACAGCAUGAUAACACUUUCAAUUCACUUAUCAUUCUGUAGAAAAGAAGGUACUGUUGUAUGGAUAAAACUAUGCCAUCAUUGCAAGUCACA